GUGCCCAAUGACGGCAUCGGCAGCCUAAUCAUGUGCUAAAAUCCUGAAGUCUGCCGAUGCCGUCAGUGGGACC
rnacentral:pre_miRNA from 1 species